rnacentral:rRNA from 1 species
CCCUUAGAUGUUCUGGGCCGCACGCGUGCUACACUGAGUGGAUCAGCGGGUCAGGUUGCGCGAAAGUGUUUCCUAAUCUUGAAAUCCGCUCGUGAUGGGGAUUGACGGUUGCAAUUUUCCGUCAUGAACGAGGAAUACCUUGUAAGCGCGGGUCAUCAUCCCGCGCUGAAUACGUCCCUGCCCUUUGUACACACCGCCCGUCGCUCCUACCGAUUGAGUGGUCCGGUGAGGCUUUGGGAUCUGAGCAAAGAGAGCGUUUCGCUCGUUUUGCCCGGAAAACUCAGUCGAACCUUAUCAUUUAGAGGAAGGAGAAUUCGUAACA